CAGUAGCCGCGGUAAUACAGAGGGUGCGAGCGUUAAUCGGAUUUACUGGGCGUAAAGCGUGCGUAGGCGGCUUUUUAAGUCGGAUGUGAAAUCCCUGAGCUUAACUUAGGAAUUGCAUUUGAUACUGGGAAGCUAGAGUAUGGGAGAGGAUGGUAGAAUUCCAGGUGUAGCGGUGAAAUGCGUAGAGAUCUGGAGGAAUACCGAUGGCGAAGGCAGCCAUCUGGCCUAAUACUGACGCUGAGGUACGAAAGCAUGGGGAGCAAACAGGAUUAGAUACCCCCGUAGUCCCUGUCUCUUAUAC
rnacentral:rRNA from 1 species